rnacentral:rRNA from 1 species
UACGAAGGGUGCAAGCGUUACUCGGAAUACUGGGCGUAAAGCGUGCGCAGGCGGUUCGUUGUGUCGGCGGUGAAAGCCCCGGGCUCAACCUGGGAAUGGCCGUUGAAACUGGCGAACUGGAGUGUGGCAGAGGGGGGUGGAAUUCCGCGUGUAGCAGUGAAAUGCGUAGAGAUGCGGAGGAACACCGAUGGCGAAGGCAGCCCCCUGGGCUGACACUGACGCUCAGGCACGAAAGCGUGGGGAGCAAACAGG